rnacentral:rRNA from 1 species
UACGUAGGGGGCAAGCGUUGUCCGGAAUCACUGGGCGUAAAGCGCACGUAGGCGGACUUGUCAGUCAGGGGUGAAAUCCCGGGGCUCAACCUCGGAACUGCCUCUGAUACAGCAAGUCUCGAGUCCGGAAGAGGUGGGUGGAAUUCCUAGUGUAGAGGUGAAAUUCGUAGAUAUUAGGAAGAACACCGGUGGCGAAGGCGGCCCACUGGUCCGGUACUGACGCUGAGGUGCGAAAGCGUGGGGAGCAAACAGG